UCGCUUGGGCACCGGGUUCAAAGCGAUCAGGAAGGCUCUGACCCCUAGUGGAGACUCACGAUUGCACCUCGGUAGGUUGAAACUCGCGACGGACCCUAAUUGGGUGCGCUUGGGCGUGUUUCUUGUGUGCGUCGGUGGCACAGUGGUUAGAACUCUCGUCGA
rnacentral:snRNA from 15 species